GCUCUUUGACCUGUCCUCACCAGCUACUGAGACUGGAUUCUUCCAAACGAAGAAGCAGCCAUUCUCAGAGGAGAUUCUCACUGAUGGUAUUUUCUUCCUUGGGCUGUGUUCUCUUCUCCUGCACCAGCCAUUCCAGAGGGUGGUGUUCAGUGGCUGCUGAUUCCUGGGCCGAACUCAACUCUCCCUACAGCCCUCCUCAUGAGAUCAUGCCUUGGAGAGCGGGGAGGGCCCCUCCACAAUCAAUGGGAAAGUUCUUCUUGUCUACGGAAGUGAUUCCUGGCAAUGGGAGCCUCCAGUUACAACUGGGUUCAGCAUGAGUGUGGAGUGCAGCUGCAGUCACACCAGGUGCUCAAGGGCCUGGGACGGGGACCAGAUUUUGGGGAUGUUUUCAUUCUCCUUUGGGAAAAAUUGUAGACCAUUGCUACAGCUCCUACAGUGAGAAGUGUACUGCCAGGAGGCUUCAUUGUCUAGUUCCUUGACUCUCAUGACUUAUCUAUCAUCUGUCUGUCUGUCUUCUGUCUGUCUGUCUAUGUGUCUGUCUAUGUGAGUUUCCCAUCCUACUAUGAAGCCUGAAGUCUGCAUGCUGUGGGGUCACUCUUCACACUCCCAACACAACCAGUAAGGGGCCAAGAGGCCACUCUUCAGAGAAGGUGAGCAAUCUGUCAACAUGUCACAGUACCAAGAGAUUUCCAGCAAUCCCGCUGGCUUGUCCACAGAUGGAUGAAGGAAGGACACCGCAUACGCACAGUGGAAAACUACACAGCCCCCCAAAGAAGGGACUCUUGCUGUGUGUGACAGUGUGGAUGGAGCUGGAGGCCUUUGAGCUCUGUGACCUAAGCUGGCGGGGAGAGAUGAACGAAGUGCAGUCCUGCUUAUCCAAGGAAGCAGGACAGCUGGAUACGAGCCUGCAGAGCGCAGAAGGAUGGCUCUCAGAGCUGAGGAGGGGCUGGGUGAUGCUGGCUAAAGGUACAGGGAUUGGUCACAUGUGGGUGAGUGCCAGGGACAAGCUCUGCAGCAUGCUGACCGCGGUUAGGAGUAACUCCCUGCAGCUUGGACUUCACGGAGAGAGCAGGUCUCAUUACACACAGAGCACAGCCAUGUGGCAUCAGGUGUGUUAAUUACUUCUCUGUGAACACUUAACAGUUACUUGUGUAAAAACCCCAGACCUACACCCCUUGAACAGAAGCAAUUUCACUUUGCUAACAAUACCUGGGUGAAACCUUCUCCUCUAUGAACACUUGCUGCUGUUUGUUUGAAGGAAGGUGAUCCGAAAGCCUUUCUACUUGGCUCUUUAUUGUUCUAUGAGGAGGACCUAAACAGGCUGUGGAGGUUUGUAUGGCCUGUCCUUCCAUCUGCCCCUAUUCCUCUGUGCUCGUUACGUCAGCUAGGCUGUGCUCUACAUCAAGGGGAGUUGGCAUUGGGAACGUCUUUCUCUCUCUCCACUUGCCAGGCUGGGCAGAAGCCACAUAGGAUGUGACCAUGGGCUUGCCACCCUUAUGUAGCCACACUUGAGAUCCAGGCUCAGCCUCCACAGAGCCAGGGGAUAGUUCCCGAGAUUCAGCAUGCAGUGGUUGUAUGUCUUGCAACUGCUCAGAUUCCGAAUGAGUGCCCAGGGUUCCAGGCAGAGACCCCUCCACCUUUGACAGCCCUGAAGGAUGUGCAUGGGACAGCAGCUAGCCUCACUGGGCGCAGGGCAUUUCAAUUAAUGGACUUCAACUGUGACGUAGUCUCUAGUUUAAAACAUGGCUUUAUUGUAAAGCAAAAACUUGUUCAUAGCAGAGGGCUUGCAAGAAAAAAAAAAGAAUUGAAACACACAAAGAAGAAAACUAAAUCCAAGUCAUCCAUCAUGACUGCUCAGAGACAAUCCUGUUAAUUUUUUUGAUGGAUUUCCUUCCUGAAUUUCUGCCUUUUUGGGAUUGUUAUGUGGCAAACAGGACUCACGUCCAGGUCCCUUCUGGAUCUGAAAAUAGAACGGUA